rnacentral:tRNA from 2 species
GCGCCUAUAGCUCAAUUGGCAGAGCAGGGGCCUUUUAAGCCCAAGGUUGGAGGUUCGAUUCCUCCUGGGCGCACCA